GCGGGUAUAGCUCACUGGUAGAGCAUGUAUCUGGCAUGCACAAGGUCCUGGGUUCAUUCCCCAAUGCCUGUG
rnacentral:tRNA from 1 species